rnacentral:rRNA from 1 species
AGCUCGUGUCGUGAGAUGUUGGGUUAAGUCCGUAACGAGCGCAACCCUUGUCCUUAGUUACCAGCACGUUAUGGUGGCACUCUAAGAGACUGCCGGUGACAAACCGGAGGAAGGUGGGGAUGACGUCAAGUCAUCAUGGCCCUUACGGCCUGGGCUACACACGUGCUACAAUGGUCGGUACAAAGGGUUGCCAAGCCGCGAGGUGGAGCUAAUCCCAUAAAACCGAUCGUAGUCCGGAUCGCAGUCUGCAACUCGACUGCGUGAAGUCGGAAUCGCUAGUAAUCGUGAAUCAGAAUGUCACGGUGAAUACGUUCCCGGGCCUU